rnacentral:rRNA from 1 species
AUUGAACGCUGGCGGCAGGCUUAACACAUGCAAGUCGAGCGAGCGGCGGACGGGUGAGUAAUGUCUGGGAAACUGCCUGAUGGCGGGGGAUAACUACUGGAAACGGUAGCUAAUACCGCAUACCAUCAGAUGUGCCCAAAUUGGAUUAGCUAGGAGGUGGGGUAAUGGCUCACCUAGGCGCCGAUCCCUAUCUGGUCUGAGAGGAUGACCACUCACACUGGAACUGAGACACGGUCCAGAAUCCAACGGGAGGCAGCAGUGGGGAAUAUUGCACAAUGAGCGCAAGCAGGAUGCAGCCAUGCCGCGUGUGUGAAGAAGGCCUUCGGGUUGUAAAGCACUUUCAGCGAGGAGGCGUUACUCGCAGAAGAAGCACCGGCUAACUCCGUGCCAGCAGCCGCGGUAAUUC